rnacentral:rRNA from 1 species
CAGUAGGGAAUCUUCGGCAAUGGGGGGCAACCCUGACCGAGCAACGCCGCGUGAGUGAAGAAGGUUUUCGGAUCGUAAAGCUCUGUUGUAAGAGAAGAACGUGUGUGAGAGUGGAAAGUUCACACAGUGACGGUAACUUACCAGAAAGGGACGGCUAACUACGUGCCAG